GGGUGCGAUCAUACCAGCAAUAAUGCACCGGAUCCCAUCAGAACUCCGAAGUUAAGCUUGCUUGGCGAGAGCAGUACUAGGAUGGGUGACCUCCUGGGAAGUCCUCGUGUUGCACCCCUC
rnacentral:rRNA from 1 species